rnacentral:rRNA from 1 species
UACGUAGGGUGCAAGCGUUAUCCGGAUUCAUUGGGCGUAAAGAGCUUGUAGGUGGCUCGAUAAGUUGGACGUGAAAACUCCGGGCUUAACUUGGAGAGGCCGUUCAAUACUGUCGGGCUGGAGGGUGUCAGAGGGAAGUAGAAUUCCUGGUGUAGCGGUGAAAUGCGCAGAUAUCAGGAGGAACACCGAUGGCGAAGGCAGUGAUCUGGGCCAGUACUGACGCUGAGGAGCGAAAGCGUGGGGAGCGAACAGG